AGAAAAAUAUUUGCAAGGGCUGUAAAAUAUGUCAGACCAAAACCUAUGUAUAUUUGCGUGCAAUGUCACGCAAAAAUAUAAUUGCAACCCUGUUGUAGUUGCCAUUUUACAUAAAGACAUAUUACGUCGUUAAAUUGUUGAGAAAGGUAAGUUUUAAAUAGAUUUUAAAAUUUCUUUUUAAUUUCUAAAGAAUUUUUACAGUUUUCCACAAAUAUGAAUAGCGAAGUUGCGCCACCAGCGAAGAGGAAAAGGCAGCAGCCAAACAAAAAGUGGAAGGAGAGUGAGGUGCACUCUAUAAUAGAGUUUUUAAUGGAAGAGGCCGAAUUUGAGGCUCCAACUGCGCAAUUGUUUUACAAACGAUUUUUACAUAACUCGCAGUUGGAUGUCUCAUGGGAUCUGGUGCGGUGAAAGGUCCGGCAUUUGAAGGCGCAGUACCGUAAAGCCAAUGACUGGCUCGCGUCAACUGGUGCAGGACUACAAGAUGGAGCUGACGGCAAAACCAUCGAAGCAAAAAUUGCUAAAAUUUGCCCAUACUACGACCAGCUGAGGAAUAUAUUUGAAAAGCGGUUGCCGGCCAUGCAACCGUUACUGGUUGAAAGCAACCUUCCUUCGCCUCAAUUAUGUCCAGAUAGUCCUGCACCAGAAUUCGAAGCAGCAUUCUUGGAAGAAUGUGUACCUGCUGCGCCAUCAAAUGCCGCAUCUCCGAUCGCACCGAUCUCCACACCGGUAUCAACAUGCCAACGGUCAAUUCGUCCUCCGAAAUCAUCCGUUGGACAAUUGGCGGCUAUCCAAGCAGAAAAAAUUGCUAUGGAAGCGAAAAAGCUGGAGUUCGAUAAGUAUAAAUUCGAGGAGGAAAAGAAAAUUCAAGAAAAAAAGUUAGACAUUGAGUCAAAAAAAUUAGAUAUAGAAUUGAAAAAAAUAGAAACUGAGGAAAAAUUCAAAAUGUUAGAAUUAGAAAUGAAAGAAAGAGUAGCAAUGUUUGAAAUUGAA